rnacentral:lncRNA from 1 species
UAGGUGCUUAAUUUCUUUUUGAUGAUGAAUUAUAAAGUAUUCAUUUCAUGGCUAAAUAAAGGUUUUGAUUCACCAUAUACCAUGUCCCACAACAAAGCAGAAGAAGAGAUAACUGUGGCUGGAUGCGUAGAACCUCCACCCAUGCGCAUGCUUAAUCCCUCCCUUAUUUUCUCAUCCGAUUUGCUAACCUGCGCCAACUUCCAUCAAAACUCACUCCUCGAAAACUACAAAACAAAUCCAAAUUGUACUCCAUUAAAGAAGAGAAUUAAUUUAAUGGGUUAAUUAUAUUUCAUCAUCUUCAUCUUCAUCUAUCUAUACAUGGAUCCCCAAUCCUCUCUCCACAUAAUCCCGUUUCUCCUCUCUCCUCAAAACCUUAGGGUUCUUCAUCAAUUAAUCCUUUAAUAAUGGAUCAGGGGUUUUGUCUAGUGGCCAUGGUUUAUCACUUUCUCUCUUCUCCCAGUAAACCCAUCAAAACAACUUUGUUCUUUCACCACUAACUUAGCUGCAGAGGUAUGACUUGCAGCCGCAUGAUUUCUCGAGGAAUUAAUGUUGUUUCUUUAGGGCCAUUUACGGAUUAUGCUUUGAAUUUUUCAUUAUGUGCAGGAUGUAUUUGUGUUUGAUUUACGGUCAUGUUGCUGCAGUUGCCAUGGCAUGUUGGAAAUUUGGAAUGUUUUGCAGUUGGCAUGCCAUGUUGCUGAUGGUUUAGCAUUCUUAAUUCGUUCGCUAGAAUUUUUAGGGGACAUAUUAAAACAAUUCUUACCUUGGUAAUUCUAAUGGAAGGUAGAGAUGUAUUUGUUCAUUUUUGAUUCAUAGUAAAUACAUAACUUAUAGAUCAUUGUCCAUAUAUAUAUAUAUCUUUUACUUUUGUGUUUGGACACGAGAGAACACAAAGGAACUGAUACGAGGAAUCCCACUACAUGGAUCAAUUUUAUCCAUAAAAUUAGGUCAAUCAGACAGUUUAUUCCAACCUGUUUAAUAAUUUAAUCCAUAAGAUUAGG